UACGUAGGGUGCGAGCGUUGUCCGGAAUUAUUGGGCGUAAAGAGCUCGUAGGCGGUGUGUCGCGUCGGCCGUGAAAACCUGCAGCUUAACUGUGGGCUUGCGGUCGAUACGGGCAUCCCUGGAGUUCGGCAGGGGAGACUGGAAUUCCUGGUGUAGCGGUGAAAUGCGCAGAUAUCAGGAGGAACACCGGUGGCGAAGGCGGGUCUCUGGGCCGAUACUGACGCUGAGGAGCGAAAGCGUGGGGAGCGAACAGG
rnacentral:rRNA from 1 species